ensembl:scaRNA small Cajal body-specific RNA 22
GCGCUCACUAAGGCUUGGUCCUCUCCAAGUGGUCCGGACCUGCCCUCCAUGAGCAAGAGAAACAGGACUGGUUUGGGGGUGUCCUGCCCAAGUGGACGUGGGACACCACAGUUUUCAGUACAACA